rnacentral:rRNA from 1 species
GUCGAGCGGAUGAAGGGAGCUUGCUCCUGGAUUCAGCGGCGGACGGGUGAGUAAUGCCUAGGAAUCUGCCUGGUAGUGGGGGACAACGUUUCGAAAGGAACGCUAAUACCGCAUACGUCCUACGGGAGAAAGCAGGGGACCUUCGGGCCUUGCGCUAUCAGAUGAGCCUAGGUCGGAUUAGCUAGUUGGUGAGGUAAUGGCUCACCAAGGCGACGAUCCGUAACUGGUCUGAGAGGAUGAUCAGUCACACUGGAACUGAGACACGGUCCAGACUCCUACGGGAGGCAGCAGUGGGGAAUAUUGGACAAUGGGCGAAAGCCUGAUCCAGCCAUGCCGCGUGUGUGAAGAAGGUCUUCGGAUUGUAAAGCACUUUAAGUUGGGAGGAAGGGUUGUAGAUUAAUACUCUGCAAUUUUGACGUUACCGACAGAAUAAGCACCGGCUAACUCUGUGCCAGCAGCCGCGGUAAUACAGAGGGUGCAAGCGUUAAUCGGAAUUACUGGGCGUAAAGCGCGCGUAGGUGGUUCGUUAAGUUGGAUGUGAAAUCCCCGGGCUCAACCUGGGAACUGCAUCCAAAACUGGCGAGCUAGAGUAUGGUAGAGGGUGGUGGAAUUUCCUGUGUAGCGGUGAAAUGCGUAGAUAUAGGAAGGAA